rnacentral:rRNA from 1 species
UUCCGGUUGAUCCUGCCGGACCCGACUGCUAUCGGAUUGGGAUAAGCCAUGCGAGUCAACUCGAAAGAGUGGCGCACGGCUCAGUAACACGUAGUCAAUCUACCCCUGAGGACGGGGAUAACCCCGGGAAACUGGGGAUAAACCCCGAUAGGCCAUAGCUCCUGGAAUGGGCUAUGGCUCAAAUCUAUAUGGCCUUAGGAUGGGACUGCGUCCGAUCAGUUGUUGGUGGGGUAAUGGCCCACCAAGCCUAUAACCGGUACGGGCUCUGAGAGGAGGAGCCCGGGGAUGGGCACUGAGACAAGGGCCCAGGCCCUACGGGGCGCAGCAGGCGCGAAACCUCCGCAAUGCGCGAAAGCGCGAUGGUGUCACUCCGAGUGCCGCCCGCUGAGGGCGGCUUUUCCCGGGCCUAAAAAGCCCGGGGAAUAAGGGGAGGGCAAGCCUGGUGUCAGCCGCCGCGGUAAUACCAGCUCCCCGAGUGGUCGGGACGAUUAUUGGGCCUAAAGCAUCCGUAGCCGGCCCGGUAUGUCUCCUGUUAAAUCCAACGGCUCAACCGUUGGGCCGCAGGAGAUACCGCCGGGCUAGGGGGCGGGAGAGGCGGACGGUAUUCCGCGGGUAGGGGUAAAAUCCUCUGAUCCGCGGAGGACCACCAGUGGCGAAGGCGGUCCGCCAGAACGCGCCCGACGGUGAGGGAUGAAAGCUGGGGGAGCGAACCGGAUUAGAUACCCGGGUAGUCCCAGCUGUAAACGAUGCGGGCUAUGUGCUGGAAGGGCUGCGGGCCCUUCCAGUGCCGCAGGGAAGCCGUUUAGCCCGCCGCCUGGGGAGUACGGCCGCAAGGCUGAAACUUAAAGGAAUUGGCGGGGGAGCACCACAAGGGGUGAAGCCUGCGGUUCAAUUGGAUUCAACGCCGGGA